GACGAACGCUGGCGGCGUGCCUAAUACAUGCAAGUAGAACGCACAGGAUACACCGUAGUUUACUACACCGUAUUCUGUGAGUUGCGAACGGGUGAGUAACGCGUAGGUAACCUGCCUGGUAGCGGGGGAUAACUAUUGGAAACGAUAGCUAAUACCGCAUAAGAACAUUUACUGCAUGGUAGAUGUUUAAAAGGUGCAAAUGCAUCACUACCAGAUGGACCUGCGUUGUAUUAGCUAGUAGGUGAGGUAACGGCUCACCUAGGCGACGAUACAUAGCCGACCUGGGAGGGUGAUCGGCCACACUGGGACUAAGACACGGCCCAGACUCCUACGGGAGGCAGCAGUAGGGAAUCUUCGGCAAUGGGGGGAACCCUGACCGAGCAACGCCGCGUGAGUGAAGAAGGUUUUCGGAUCGUAAAGCUCUGUUGUUAAGGAAGAACGAGUGUGAGAAUGGAAAGUUCAUACUGUGACGGACUAACCAGAAA
rnacentral:rRNA from 1 species